CCGAACUGUCGCUCUUGCCGCCAUCUUGAGGAGUUGACGUGCCGGUGAAAGGCGGGACGCGCCCUGGGUGACUGGCUGCGAGUUUCCCUGGUCUUGAAAGCUAAAGGGACACUGGAGACUGAUAAAGGCUGGUCCAGCCCAGAUGAUAAUGUGCAGUGGCAGCCCCCAAAGAGAGAGAUGAUGGCCCACUGUCUGAGUAGGAGGAAGGAAACAGGAUAAGAGCUUUCCGAUGGCCACUUUGAAAAGUCUGCCCUUUCUCUUUCUCUCUCUUCUCCAAGUGUAACAAUAUGUUGAAUUUGCCAUGAGCCUUUAAAGCUUCGAUGUUGUGAAGAGCUCUGCAUGAAAUUUUAAAGAGACUGGACCUUUCAUCUGCACAGCAGCGGGGCAUCUCGCUAUGGGGACAAGAAAGGAAGAUAGAGAGAGAACAGUUCUGAAGCAAUAGCAAAAAAUAACAGCAGAAGCAAUUAUUUCAUCAAAGAUUCUGGGAGGAUGCCCCACUGUUGUCCUGAGAGGCUAAACACCUGGUCCCCAGCACAGCUAACUGCUUGGUAUCUCCUCUUCUCUGUCAUUGAGCAAGUCAUGUUACAAGAGCACCCAAAGUGCAUCCAUGUGCAAUGCCAACCACUCCACUGCCUCGAACCAGGAUAAAAGUGGAGACUUCCUCCAUCAAGCCGCAGCUCUUUCUUUGGCUCCUUAGUUGAAACUUCCCAGUAUUUCAGGUAAUUCUGAUGCAGCUGGCCCAUGCACCAGCAUUUGGAAAUCACUGCUCUAAAUGACCAUGUGAUAAGGACAUCAUGGGGCGAAUUCAGGCAUCAGGCAGAAGAUUGGGCCAAGUCAGAGAAAAUUCUGAAGAAACAUCAAACACAAGAUGCCAAGAUAAGUGUUGCAAUUUAUUUUUUAUUUUAAAUCAUAGGAGUGAUGCUGCUUUAGAUUUUUACUUAGUUUUCUCCCAUUAAAUGUAAUGUUUCUUUUUUCUGCAUUUGUCUUCGAUAUUUUUUCGGCAGUUGGACUAUGCUAUGUGUAGGUGUUUUUUUAUUGGUUUGCUUUUUCCUUUUUCAGAAAAAGUCCUUCUUGGGGUUCUCUGGGAUUCUUGGAUCCAUGCAGGGUCACCCAUGGUGGACAGCCUUCAGUGGAGCAUCCAGACUAAGAGACUAGGAAGAAGAAUCUGGCCACCCACUUCCGAAAAGAUUGGCUAUGAAAACCCUGUGAAUAGCAAUGGAGUAUUGUCUGACAUAGUGCCGGAAGUGGUAUCAGGAAGACUCAUCCUGUGUACGUGAUAAAGGCCAUCAGCAGCCACUCAAGGACCUCCACUGUAUAUUACUGAAAUUAUUUGCUCUUGGGUUUGGCUUUGGAAUGCUAUCAAUUUUAAUAUGAUUGCACAAAAAGAACAAAAGAAAUGUAAUGGUAUCUUGAACAAGAUCUUUGAUCUCUUAAUUGAUGAAUUAAAGACUCUCAAAGGCCACGCAUCCGGCGGAAUGCUUCAGAUUUACCGGUAAUUUUAGAAGCGCUUUGUUAUUAGUUCCUUAUUUCUACCCGUCCUGCAAAAGGUAUUUCAAAAUGUAUGUUAAAGUCAAAGCCAAGCUGCCUCUCUUCUCCAGCGGCUACAGAGCUCCAGGGAACUUUUCUAGGAAGGCAGUGUCAGGAUAUUUGGAAAGGUUAAUUCAUCUCUAGGUGAUAGGAACCAGGUUCUGUCCAUUUGAAGGGAAAGAAUGGAAGGGGAGAGGGGAACAAAAAUGAGACUAGGAAAAAAAAAAGGCUAUAUAACUAGAGAAAAUAACCAUGAAAUGUGUAAGGCCUGUGGGCCUUUGCUUAAAAGAAAUCAGGCUGAGGGCAGUUAAGAAUUUGAAUGUUAAUAUGAAAGGUCUCUGAUUCGGUAUUUUCAGGUGAUUAAUGCUCUUGGCCGUCCACCACAUCAUUGUUGGUAAGUAUGGAGAUGGUAAUCAUUUCAGCAGGUAGGUUUGAUUUUGUGUGUUCCUUAUUUAACAAAGCAAAGACGGGAAGUCGAUUUCUCAGCAACCUCUUCCAGCUCUAGUGUGUUUGUGUAUCUGAAUUGUAGAACAUCUUUUAAACUUACCCUGCCACUCAGAAAAUAAGCUGACUCUGUUGUGUCCAGGGAAAUCCCUGGGUACUGAGAACUCCUGGUGCCUUUGGGACAUACCGAGUCCAUGAAUGGUCACAUGUACAAAUGGCAGAGAUACACAGCUGACAGAGCUUGUUAGACCAUCUUCUUGGGGAGAUCCAUGAAGUAGGCUAUUUUGAUAUCAGAAAGGAGAGAAGAAUUAGAUAAACAUGGCAUGCCUAGACCUCUCUGGAAGGAUUAGGUCUCAACUGGAAGUUUGAGUUUAGUUUUGGGGACCACAUUUUAAGAGGUAUAUUACACAAUGGAAUAUGUCCAGGGUGGUGAGAGGACUUGAAACCAGGUAUUCAUUCAUUCAAUGAAGUUUUUGAGUAUUUAUCAUGUAGUAAGCACUGUACUAGCCACUGGAAAUACAACAGUAAACGACAAAUAUGGAAGCUACCCUCAUGGAACUUACAGCCUAAAGGAGAAAAUGGAAUAAACACGUACACAAGCCAACUAGUUAACUGACAACUCAUGAAGGAGCUGUGAUCAAUAGGGAGGGGUGACUAGGUCCUAAUUUAGAAAGAUUGUCAGAGAUAGUAUCUCUGAGGAAAUAAUAUUUAAACUGAAGACUGAAGGAUGGGGAGGAACAGCGUAAAGAACAUUCUGGGAGAGUGCAAUGGUCCUGAAAUGGGAAACAAUUUAACAUGUACUGGGGACUGGAAGCAGGCUGUUGUCACUGUACUGCAGUGAAUGAGGUGAGGGAGAUAGUGAAGCAGCAUCAGAGAGGAAGGCUUGGGUGAGAUUACUCAAGGUCUUAAGGACCAUGGGUAGGAGGUUGGAUUUUUUUUCUGAGUGUCAUAGGAAGCCACUGAGGGUUUCAAGCAAGGGAGUAACAUGAUCUACUUUACAUUUUAGAAGGACUACUCUUGGCUCCCAUAUGAAGAAUGACUGAAAGAAGGGUGGGCUUGGAAGGGGAAGGGGGCAAUUAGGAGACUGCAUUACCUCAGGCUGGAAAUCAUCAUGGCAGUGGAGAUGAAGAAACAUGUGUGGAUUCACAUACAUUGAAAAGGAAAAUUAGCAGCUCUUGUGUUGGAUUAGAAAUGAGGAUGAGGUAUGAUGAAGAAUCAAACAUGACUUUCAGGUGACUACCAUUUGCUAAGAUGGGGAAGAGCAGGAAGAACGUGUCUGAAGGAUAUUGUAGGGGAAAUCAAGAGGCAUGACUGGAGAAACUGGAGAUGUUUUGUCUUGGGAGAUAAAAACUCUGGGGAAGACAAAGUGCUUCAUAGUCAUCUUUAAAUCAAUGGUUCCUAACUAUGUGUGUGUAUGUGGGGGUGUCACAGAUUAUUUUAGAAUCUGAUGGCGGCUAAGGCUCCUCUCUACAAAAAAAAGAAAUCACAUAUCUAAUAUUGAAUACAAUUUUAAGAGCUCAAGCGACAAUCCAAAGCUGACUCAUGGAUUAUUCGUGAACCCCGUCUUAAGAACCCUUCCUUUAAAUAUGUGAAGAGCCCAUGGAAAAAGAAUUGCCCUAGUAUCAUCAUUGCUCAAUAGAUAAUCUGGAUUAAAGUCACCUAAAUUUGUUGAGUCUGAGAUUCCCAAUUGGCUAGAUGAAAUUAAUAAUGUCUGUUUUGUCGUUAUAUAGCUAUUCUAGGAUUUAAAUGAGAUAGUGCUUUCUUAAUUAAUAUGACUGUGUAACUACUAAUACUUUAAAAAAAUGAACCCACAGGGAUUAAAUAUGGCUUAGAUGAAGAGGAGCUUUUGAUAAUUGGUAGCAUUCCACGGCCAAAAUGGACGACCUGGUGAGAUAGUGCUUCAUGAAAUUGUUCAAGCAGGAUCUGAAUGAUGUCUUGCCCAUAUUGAGCACCUGCUUACCGC